rnacentral:rRNA from 1 species
UACGUAGGGUCCGAGCGUUGUCCGGAAUUAUUGGGCGUAAAGGGCUCGUAGGCGGUCUGUCGCGUCGGGAGUGAAAACUCAGGGCUCAACCCUGAGCGUGCUUCCGAUACGGGCAGACUAGAGGUAUGCAGGGGAGAACGGAAUUCCUGGUGUAGCGGUGGAAUGCGCAGAUAUCAGGAGGAACACCGGUGGCGAAGGCGGUUCUCUGGGCAUGACCUGACGCUGAGGAGCGAAAGCAUGGGGAGCGAACAGG